rnacentral:lncRNA from 1 species
UUUUAGCUGUUUACAAUUGUCUUUAAGAUAAGUUAUAAAUUUUCCCCAUUCCUUAUUAAAAAUGUUGGUCUUCCUGGUUCUCAUUUGUUUCUUGUGUGCUCUCUUCAAAGUAUUGUUUCCUUCUUUUCUGCUGGCUCCAUUUCUUUUCAUCUGAGUGGUCUCUGAAUCCCUCUCUUCCGCCUUUCAUCUAAAUGCCUCAUGCUUCAUAAAGAGUAGCCCUGUUGCUAAGAGCUCCAGGACUUUUGCCACCAAUGAAAUACAUCUCGUUCCCAAUGUACCUCCACGUGGGCAAUGCCUCAAGGCAUCGGGUCUCUAGCGGACAUUUUGCUAGACAGCACUCUCCCCUAUAGGGGAGAAAAAUGUUUCCUGUGGUUCUCUUCACCAAGACUGGAGUUGCUCAGAGGCUGCUGGGAGAACUGAUUUCUCUUCACCUUGCCCUGGCUCCAUCUGCCCCUUCUGAGAAGUGGGAGCUGUGAUUGAAAGAGGCACCUGUUGGCUUCCUGAUAAAAAUAGGAGCGUCCAGUUACCCAUCACAGUAGGGAGGGUGGGUGUAUCAACAGAGUAGUAAACAAUGAGAAAAGGCACAGCAUGCACAGUGGAGGGGCGAGAGAGGCUGAGAGGAGGCCAGGAGGAGGAAGCAGGAGAAGGAGAGAGCAAGGGAGAGACUGAGCAGAAGACCAGCCGCUUGCUUUUCCCUGGGAGAGGUAACUUCAGAUGAAAUGGGAGAUAUAGGCUGGCGCUUUAAUGGCAACGAAUUGGCUGCUAAGACCCUGCAUGCAUGAAGAACAGUGAUCCCACAAUAAACCCUGUCUGGAAACACCCUCCCACUGUAUUCAUUGGGGCUUACUCUCAGGAAAGUGCGUAUAAUUCAGCCUUCAUGAUCUGCCUCUAACUAUCUGGUAGUACAAGGAGCUGAGCUUAAAUAAAUCUCAACAAGCCGACUAGUUUUCUUAUGCCUCCAAUAAUCCAUUUCAAAAUCUUGGAAGACGUACAGUCACCCACCACCUUUGUGCACCUAUAUUCUCAGGGGAAAGAUGAGCAGAGAUGCCAAAGCUCCUCAGGCUCAAUCUGGUUAUGUAUAUAAG